rnacentral:lncRNA from 1 species
UCUGUUAUUCUAUAAAUACGUCCUUCUUUUCUCUCCCGAAAAGUGACGAUCGAAUAUGAUCUAAUUCGAAAGAAUCCACGAUAAAUCUUCCUUCUUCUCUUUCUUCUUCCUCUGUGGGAUUUCCACCUACGUUUCCGGGGUUUUGGAGUGUGGACAUAGAAGAGGACUCUGGUAGCCCUCUUCAAUUGACAUCCCUCGCAUCAGAUCCGCAUCAGAUCCGUGACGUAAGGCGUACGCGUGGGAGAAGGCAAGAAACGUGGGAGAUCCAGAAGCAUCGAGAUAAGGACGAU